rnacentral:lncRNA from 10 species
AGAGAAUGUGCACUGGAAAUGGUACAGGACUGACACUGCUGCCACUCUGUGGUUCUUUGAAUCUUUGGACAGUGUUAACAAACCUUGGGAUGGAAGAAAUGAAGAUGAUGGGUGAGUCAGGCAGCAUCCAUUAAGCCCUGAAGCUACACAGCAGUAAAAUGUGCAGUUGGCACAAGACAAUAAGGAGUGGAGUACACUAGCCAUAUAAUGAACAAAGAGUGCAAUCCCUAUCCAUUUCCCCUAUAAAAAUACCCAAGUACACUUGCUAGGGUGAACCAUACGAUCUCAAAAUUUCUAGGGUUUCUUUCUGUUUCUUUCUCUUCUGCAUGACUGGCCUAGGGAUAGUGCUGUACUCAGGAAAGGCUGAGGCUUUUGAAAGCUGGUGGCCAUUUUUUAGGAUCUAUCCUCAAUCUUCAAAUUCUGUAAGUUCAGUUCUAAUCUUACCUCCUCUAUGAAACCUUGUGUAAUACCUCAUGCUUAUUAUUCUCCUUCUCUAAAUUGUCGGGGAGACAGGAUAUGGCGUGUUACUUUCUAACUGCUAGUUGUGCCUUCUGGUCUAUAACCACAAGUUUUGAAUGUAUACUUGUUCCUAUUAAACACUGUUGGGAGGCUAAUCAUAAGAAAAGGAGGGAGGGAAGUGGGUGUCUUUCUUCAGUGAUAAAUUUAAAGACAGGAUUGAUGAUCCCUCACCUGGUUGUGAUUUAUGGGGUUAAGAGGGCCAUUUGGGAAAUCUGUUCUUGGUGAUGAAGACGUUGACUUGUAAUUGGAGUCACGGAAGGGCAUACAAGGUCUGGGUAUGCAACAUGAGAGCUCAGCUUUGUUCUGGGAAUAGGGUAGAAUAACAAUAUGAAAAUCACUUACCAUUGAGAAAUACUGGUUACAAUUUAUCAGAUACUUUCUCAAAAAAUUGAGAAAGUUGAACUUUCUUUUGGUCUUUUUUUUUUCCUUUUAGUGGAGAACAGCAUCUUGCUAUAUUGCCCAGGCAGAUCUUAAACUCUGGGGCUCAACUACCUUCCCACCUCCGCCUCCCUAAGUACUGGGAUUACAGGCAUGAGCCACUGUGCCAGACCAUAGUCAAACUUUUGAUAAAGAAAAUGCCCAUGUGACAAAAACAAAGAAGGACUGAGAGUCAGACUGGAAAAGACAUAAAUCAACUCUAUUUCUGGCCUAUGGUUGGGGAUGGGAUGGGUGGGAUCCAUCAAAAAUCUUAGAGACCUGGAGCUCAAUGAUCGUCUCAAGGGACUAUGUGACUCAGAAAGCUGGAACGUCAGAAAGGAAGGACUCCAGAAAAACAUAUAGCAAUAUAUGGUGAAGGCGAAGCUCCAUAAAGCAAGGACCCCGAAAUUCCACUACUAGAAAGUUACUCUGAGACUCUCAUAUUUGUGAUCAAGAGGACAUGUACAAGAGUGUUUGCUAGCAAUGGCCCCACAAUGGAAUCCACCACUUUACAGUCCAGUGGAAGAAGGAUGGAUAAACAAGCAUGGUGCUUAAUACAAUAGAAUUCCAUACAGCAGUAAAACAAAUGAACUGGAGCCUCUACACAGCAUGGAUGGGUCUCAUAAGGAGUGAAAAGAUAUGUUACAAAAAAGUACACGUGAUAAAUACAAACUAUAUGUAACAUUUAAUCAACAUGAAAAAAGAGCAUUCUGUAUGAAGAAAUGAAAUAAAUAAACACCAAACUGGGGCAGGGGUUUCUUUAAGGGUGAUGCCUUGGUACAGUGGAGAAACAGAAGGUAAUUUCAGAAGACUAUUUAAGUGCUUUAUUUUUCAUUUGUGUGAUAAGUUCCUGAGUCCUUAAUAUAUCAUAUAUUAAUGUGUUGAUCCUAUGUUUUGUUAAUUCAGGAAUAUGUAAUGAAAACUUACAUUCUCAUAGUUCAUCAACUGGAUGGCUCUAGAAAUAUAGAUUAUUUUUCUGAAACAAUGUGUCUUUAUGUAUUUACAGGGUCGAAUAUUAGUUUUAGGAACAUACAGGGUGUGCACACUCGUAAAGUUUUUAAAGGUCUCCUGCUCUG